rnacentral:pre_miRNA from 1 species
AGUGAAACUGCUGGGUUAGAUAGUUAACUUUAUGUUAGCAUUUUGAGAAACUGCCAAACAAUUUUCCAAAGAGAUUGCUUCAUUUUAUAUUUCCAUCAGUGAU